GGGUUGUGAGGUUAAGCGACUAAGCGUACACGGUGGAUGCCCUGGCAGUCAGAGGCGAUGAAGGACGUGCUAAUCUGCGAUAAGCGUCGGUAAGGUGAUAUGAACCGUUAUAACCGGCGAUUUCCGAAUGGGGAAACCCAGUGUGAUUCGUCACACUAUCAUUAACUGAAUCCAUAGGUUAAUGAGGCGAACCGGGGGAACUGAAACAUCUAAGUACCCCGAGGAAAAGAAAUCAACCGAGAUUCCCCCAGUAGCGGCGAGCGAACGGGGAGCAGCCCAGAGCCUGAAUCAGUGUGUGUGUUAGUGGAAGCGUCUGGAAAGGCGCGCGAUACAGGGUGACAGCCCCGUACACAAAAAUGCACAUGCUGUGAGCUCGAUGAGUAGGGCGGGACACGUGGUAUCCUGUCUGAAUAUGGGGGGACCAUCCUCCAAGGCUAAAUACUCCUGACUGACCGAUAGUGAACCAGUACCGUGAGGGAAAGGCGAAAAGAACCCCGGCGAGGGGAGUGAAAAAGAACCUGAAACCGUGUACGUACAAGCAGUGGGAGCACAGAGCAAUCUGUGUGACUGCGUACCUUUUGUAUAAUGGGUCAGCGACUUAUAUUCUGUAGCAAGGUUAACCGAAUAGGGGAGCCGAAGGGAAACCGAGUCUUAACUGGGCGUUAAGUUGCAGGGUAUAGACCCGAAACCCGGUGAUCUAGCCAUGGGCAGGUUGAAGGUUGGGUAACACUAACUGGAGGACCGAACCGACUAAUGUUGAAAAAUUAGCGGAUGACUUGUGGCUGGGGGUGAAAGGCCAAUCAAACCGGGAGAUAGCUGGUUCUCCCCGAAAGCUAUUUAGGUAGCGCCUCGUGAAUUCAUCUCCGGGGGUAGAGCACUGUUUCGGCAAGGGGGUCAUCCCGACUUACCAACCCGAUGCAAACUGCGAAUACCGGAGAAUGUUAUCACGGGAGACACACGGCGGGUGCUAACGUCCGUCGUGAAGAGGGAAACAACCCAGACCGCCAGCUAAGGUCCCAAAGUCAUGGUUAAGUGGGAAACGAUGUGGGAAGGCCCAGACAGCCAGGAUGUUGGCUUAGAAGCAGCCAUCAUUUAAAGAAAGCGUAAUAGCUCACUGGUCGAGUCGGCCUGCGCGGAAGAUGUAACGGGGCUAAACCAUGCACCGAAGCUGCGGCAGCGACGCUGUGCGUUGUUGGGUAGGGGAGCGUUCUGUAAGCCUGUGAAGGUGUGCUGUGAGGCAUGCUGGAGGUAUCAGAAGUGCGAAUGCUGACAUAAGUAACGAUAAAGCGGGUGAAAAGCCCGCUCGCCGGAAGACCAAGGGUUCCUGUCCAACGUUAAUCGGGGCAGGGUGAGUCGACCCCUAAGGCGAGGCCGAAAGGCGUAGUCGAUGGGAAACAGGUUAAUAUUCCUGUACUUGGUGUUACUGCGAAGGGGGGACGGAGAAGGCUAUGUUGGCCGGGCGACGGUUGUCCCGGUUUAAGCGUAUAGGCUGGUUUUCCAGGCAAAUCCGGAAAAUCAAGGCUGAGGCGUGAUGACGAGGCACUACGGUGCUGAAGCAACAAAUGCCCUGCUUCCAGGAAAAGCCUCUAAGCAUCAGGUAACAUCAAAUCGUACCCCAAACCGACACAGGUGGUCAGGUAGAGAAUACCAAGGCGCUUGAGAGAACUCGGGUGAAGGAACUAGGCAAAAUGGUGCCGUAACUUCGGGAGAAGGCACGCUGAUAUGUAGGUGAAGUCCCUCGCGGAUGGAGCUGAAAUCAGUCGAAGAUACCAGCUGGCUGCAACUGUUUAUUAAAAACACAGCACUGUGCAAACACGAAAGUGGACGUAUACGGUGUGACGCCUGCCCGGUGCCGGAAGGUUAAUUGAUGGGGUUAGCGCAAGCGAAGCUCUUGAUCGAAGCCCCGGUAAACGGCGGCCGUAACUAUAACGGUCCUAAGGUAGCGAAAUUCCUUGUCGGGUAAGUUCCGACCUGCACGAAUGGCGUAAUGAUGGCCAGGCUGUCUCCACCCGAGACUCAGUGAAAUUGAACUCGCUGUGAAGAUGCAGUGUACCCGCGGCAAGACGGAAAGACCCCGUGAACCUUUACUAUAGCUUGACACUGAACAUUGAGCCUUGAUGUGUAGGAUAGGUGGGAGGCUUUGAAGUGUGGACGCCAGUCUGCAUGGAGCCG
rnacentral:rRNA from 1 species